rnacentral:tRNA from 1 species
ACCCGUCUAGCUCAGUCGGUUAGAGCGCUGGCCUUUUAAGCCAGUGGUCGUGGGUUCGAUCCCCACGGGGGGUG